rnacentral:rRNA from 1 species
UGGGGAAUUUUGGACAAUGGGGGGAAACCCUGAUCCAGCCAUCCCGCGUGUGCGAUGAAGGCCUUCGGGUUGUAAAGCACUUUUGGCAGGAAAGAAACGUCGCGGGUUAAUACCCCGCGGAACUGACGGUACCUGCAGAAUAAGCACCGGCUAACUACGUGCCAGCAGCCGCGGUAAUACGUAGGGUGCAAGCGUUAAUCGGAAUUACUGGGCGUAAAGCGUGCGCAGGCGGUUCGGAAAGAAAGAUGUGAAAUCCCAGAGCUUAACUUUGGAACUGCAUUUUUAACUACCGGGCUAGAGUGUGUCAGAGGGAGGUGGAAUUCCGCGUGUAGCAGUGAAAUGCGUAGAUAUGCGGAGGAACACCGAUGGCGAAGGCAGCCUCCUGGGAUAACACUGACGCUCAUGCACGAAAGCGUGGGGAGCAAACAGGAUUAGAUACCCUGGUAGUCCACGCCCUAAACGAUGUCAACUAGCUGUUGGGGUCUUCGGACCCUUGGUAGCGCAGCUAACGCGUGAAGUUGACCGCCUGGGGAGUACGGUCGCAAGAUUAAAACUCAAAUGAAUUGACGGGGUCAUAGCUGUUUCCU